rnacentral:lncRNA from 1 species
CCCAGAAAUCACAGAGUUAUGAAGAUCCCCCCUAUUAAGUUUAACACUGGGCUUUGUAGAAGUUGCAUUUCUACACCACUCUCUACAACCAGAAGACUGAAGACUGAUUUACUUUAUUGAAGACAAAAAUAAAUGGGUGAAACCCUUAGGAAGGAGUGUAUAGUUAAGCUGAUGCCUAAAAAAAAAAAAAGUCAGGCUCUGCUAUUCACAGAGUGAAUAUUCUCUGCUCUGUUCUCCAGCACAAGGUGUGCUAUCUGCACAUUGUUCCCAUCACACUCUGAGGCUCCAACCCAUGCCCAACUCGGCCACGUGCAGGUGUCCCCCUGGGCAAGAGGAAGGGGAAAAGAGGGAAUUUCCUGUGUUGAAAAAGCCCUUCCCAGGUGAAGAACAAGAGAAAUGUGAAUUAUUCUGCCCAGCCCUGGAAAUGAUGGGGAGUCUGCUUGCUGCUGAAAAGCUUUGCUGAACCCAUGUUCGUGCUGCUCAUGAGAGAUGGAUGGAUCAGAUUACUCCAUCCCACCCACUGCAUCAGCGUAUGUCCUUGCCAUCACCGUCCUCCAUUUCUGCCUGCCCUGUCUGCUUCCUGCUGGAAACCCUUCUGCAGAGCAGAAGGGCUGAGAUAACAACCAGCUGUGAAUAAGGCUGUCUGUCCUCAGCUCUUGGUGGUCUGGUGCGUCAGGAGAGGACUGGCUUGCUGGGAGGAUGGGGAAGGCAUCCUGAGCACGGGGAAACCACCUGGCCAGGUUGGCUCUUGCUUUGGACUGAGGAAGGAUUAGUGAAUUGCAGUUUUUUAGCAUGUGCUGAGCUGUACGUAAAUGCCUACGGCGGGAGCUUUUUUCCCCUGAAACAUUAAUUGAUUAACUUUUCCCUGUUCUCCCACCAAUGUUUUUCUAAGAGUAUUUUUAGUAUUAUUGAUUUUUUUUUCCUGUAUAUUUCCAAAGAAGUAGAGAGAAAAUGAGAGCAAUUGCUCUAUUUUCUGGAAGAAAUAGGCAAAAUAGGAAAAUCAAUGCCUUCUAAACUUUCCUGGACAAGAGUGAAAUUCUCGUGCUGUUGAAGUCCAACUUCCCAGCACUUCUGCAGAGUCAGUAUGUCACCCCGAACACC